CCUACGGGUGGCAGCAGUGGGGAAUCUUGCACAAUGGGCGAAAGCCUGAUGCAGCAACGCCGCGUGAGCGAAGACGGCCUUUGGGUCGUAAAGCUCUGUCCUACGGGAAGAAGGACCUGACGGUACCUUAGGAGGAAGCCCCGGCUAACUCCGGGCCAGCAGCCGCGGUAAUACGGAGGGUGCGGGCGUUAAUCGGAAUUGCUGGGCGUAAAGGGCUCGUAGGCGGUAUGGCAAGUCAAGGGUGAAAUCCCCGCGCUCAACGCGGGAACUGCCUUUGAAACUGGCAAACUGGAGUGUGCGAGAGGAUAGUGGAAUUCCAGGUGUAGGAGUGAAAUCCGUAGAUAUCGGGCGGAACACCAGUGGCGAAGGCGACUAUCUGGCGCAUAACUGACGCUGAGGAGCGAAAGCGUGGGUAGCAAACAGGAUUAGAUACCCUUGUAGUC
rnacentral:rRNA from 1 species